rnacentral:rRNA from 1 species
UACGGGGGAGCAAGCGUUGUUCGGAUUUACUGGGCGUAAAGGGCGCGUAGGCGGCCACUGCAAGUCGGUUGUGAAAUCUACCGGGCUUGAACCCGGAAACGGGUCAAUCGAUUACUGCAGGGCUAGAGUGCAGAAGGGGCAACUGGAAUUCUCGGUGUAGCGGUGAAAUGCGUAGAUAUCGAGAGGAACGACCUGCGGCGAAGGCGGGUUGCUGGGCUGACACUGACGCUGAAGCGCGAAAGCUAGGGGAGCGAACGGG